rnacentral:rRNA from 1 species
UGGCGGACGGGUGAGUAACACGUGGGAACGUGCCCUUUGGUUCGGAACAACUCAGGGAAACUUGAGCUAAUACCGGAUGUGCCCUUCGGGGGAAAGAUUUAUCGCCAUUGGAGCGGCCCGCGUCUGAUUAGCUAGUUGGUGGGGUAAAGGCCCACCAAGGCGACGAUCAGUAGCUGGUCUGAGAGGAUGAUCAGCCACAUUGGGACUGAGACACGGCCCAAACUCCUACGGGAGGCAGCAGUGGGGAAUCUUGCGCAAUGGGCGAAAGCCUGACGCAGCCAUGCCGCGUGAAUGAUGAAGGUCUUAGGAUUGUAAAAUUCUUUCACCGGGGACGAUAAUGACGGUACCCGGAGAAGAAGCCCCGGCUAACUUCGUGCCAGCAGCCGCGGUAAUACGAAGGGGGCUAGCGUUGCUCGGAAUUACUGGGCGUAAAGGGAGCGUAGGCGGACUGUUAAGUUAGAGGUGAAAGCCCAGGGCUCAACCUUGGAAUUGCCUUUGAUACUGGCAGUCUUGAGUACGGAAGAGGUAUGUGGAACUCCGAGUGUAGAGGUGAAAUUCGUAGAUAUUCGGAAGAACACCAGUGGCGAAGGCGACAUACUGGUCCGUUACUGACGCUGAGGCUCGAAAGCGUGGGGAGCAAACAGGAUUAGAUACCCUGGUAGUCCACGCCGUAAACGAUGAGUGCUAGUUGUCGGCAUGCAUGCAUGUCGGUGACGCAGCUAACGCAUUAAGCACUCCGCCUGGGGAGUACGGUCGCAAGAUUAAAACUCAAAGGAAUUGACGGGGGCCCGCCCAAGCGGUGGA